ACUAAAUCUAAUGGGAGUGUGACUGAUCGCCCAAAUACCAUUUCACAAGGGCUUACCCCCGUGGCCUCAUGAGAAGAUGAUCGAUAUGCCAACAUGAGGAUGGCAUCAACCAAUUUGGUGAAGUAAUCUCCCACAACUAGAAGAUAAGAAUUUUUCCUGUGAGUCAUUGGUAAAUGACCUAAUAUAUCCACUGCCCAUCUUUCCAUUGAAGCACCAACCAGGGUUUAUCCCAGUGGUUGGAGAGUUUCCCUGAGACAUUGUAGUAGCAGC